UGGUCACUAAGUGCUUUUGUUUGUAUCUGGUCAUGAUCCAUGUACUGCAUUCAUGUGCUUUGGGCACCAAUGCGUGCCUGUAUGUGAAUGUGUGAAUGUGUAUUGUGCAGCUCUCGUUUUUCAUCCAGCAGACGAGAUGCAGACUGUCAGUGGGGAAUCAUACCUGGUUCCAUGCUAGAGCAGUCGCCCCUCAUACAGCCUAGUAGCUGCUGAUUGUCAGGGUGGGCUGCUGGCAGGGAGACGCAAUAACUCGAGACACCCCGGCUGUGGAACCGUGGCGGGGGAUGGGUGGUCUCACAGGCUGCCAACACCGACCUGGGAAAUAUGACCAUAACUUACCACUAGAAGAGAGAGGAGGCAGAAUGGAGCUGGCUACUUUAUCUUCCAAUAAAACAAGCAUAAGGUGAGAGGAGAUGUGAAAUGGCUUCAAGGAUUGCUCGCUAGCAUCGAGAGUAAAGGUGAAGGGCAUCUAUGGAUGACCACUCCAACCCCAUUCCAGACUUUAAGAGUCUAGUAUUUGAAGACAUGAAAUGAAGAGCCAAAAGUCAAGACCUCGAAUACACCUCUGCCAUUUACUCAUCUUUACCUGGGUGGACUGAUAACAUCAGCUCCUCUGGAUUACGUCCCAAGUAUCACAUUAUGGAGCACAAUCCAUGUGCAUAUUGGCAAACUUCAACAACUGAAGCGUACAAGAAUCUGUAUUUUUCUUUUAUAAAUCUUUAUAAUGAAUCUAAAAUUUAUUGAAUAUGUUUGAUCUGUGCUGUUUAUUUAUC